UGGGGAAUAUUGGACAAUGGGCGAAAGCCUGAUCCAGCCAUGCCGCGUGUGUGAAGAAGGUCUUCGGAUUGUAAAGCACUUUAAGUUGGGAGGAAGGGCAUUAACCUAAUACGUUAGUGUUUUGACGUUACCGACAGAAUAAGCACCGGCUAACUCUGUGCCAGCAGCCGCGGUAAUACAGAGGGUGCAAGCGUUAAUCGGAAUUACUGGGCGUAAAGCGCGCGUAGGUGGUUUGUUAAGUUGGAUGUGAAAUCACCGGGCUCAACCUGGGAACUGCAUUCAAAACUGACUGACUAGAGUAUGGUAGAGGGUGGUGGAAUUUCCUGUGUAGCGGUGAAAUGCGUAGAUAUAGGAAGGAACACCAGUGGCGAAGGCGACCACCUGGACUAAUACUGACACUGAGGUGCGAAAGCGUGGGGAGCAAACA
rnacentral:rRNA from 1 species